UACCCUUUUCGGUGAUCAGCUUGCAGAAUAUUCGUUCCUGGCUUUCUUUGAAGUUUUCCAGCUUUUACGGAGACUAAUCCAUACUUUCCUCUCUCGCUAGUCUCGUUUCUUACUCUUCCAAAAACUGAUUCCAUUUGUAAUUUAUUUUUUGUCAACUCAAAAGCUCACGAUUAUUGACCUUGUGAAUUGUUGUGGUAUAGUUGAGUAUGCAGUGUACACAGUGCAAGUGAGCAAAGUAAUCCACACAAACGUAUCAUGUCUAUAGACAUGAUUUCUCAAAAUCAUUUAAUUUUCUAAUUGUCGCCACUAUAAUCAUCUUUUAUCAUGUAAUAGACAAUCUUUUUAGGUGGUUAACUGCUCUAAUAUUUGAAGCUGAUUUAUCAAGCCGCAUUUGAUGGUUUCGCCUAAAAAGAUGUUUUAAUAGCAAAUUAAUACUACACUUUAAAAGGAAAAGGAACGUUCCACUAUGCAGUGGAAUUCAUCUCUUAAAGGGCCUUGAAAAGACAUAAGCCAAUUUUUGUAUCAUCGUUAAUGGCAUCAAUAGUAAAACAGAAUAAACCAGUUUUCACCAAUUAUACAUAGAAGAAAAUCAAGAUACAAUAAAUGUCUAUAAUCCUUUCAGGUUUUGAAGAGCAAAACAUAAUCGAGAAAAAGUAUGCGUCCUACACAAUGGUAUUUCACUAGAAAUAAUAGAAAAAUACAUUCAUACACUAUUUGAAAUUCACACCAUAUAACUCAUAAUAUACAGACUUAAGUUUUUUUUAUUAGAGACAGUCCAGUAGUCGAAUGGUCAAAUGAACUCUACAAAUGGUUAAUAUAAUAACAACUCAGGUAUUCAAUAUGAGAGAAAAUUCAAAAUAAACCUUAUUUUAAGAAAUAUUAUUAGUAAAAUUACUAAAUCACCAUCUGCCCUCUUCAAUUAGCGUCAAAUCACAGUUAAUAGAUUCGACCUUCAAAUACAACUG